rnacentral:rRNA from 1 species
GACGAACGCUGGCGGCGUGCUUAACACAUGCAAGUCGAACGGAAAGGCCCUGCUUGCAGGGUGCUCGAGUGGCGAACGGGUGAGUAACACGUGGGUGAUCUGCCCCUUACUUUGGGAUAAGCCUGGGAAACUGGGUCUAAUACUGGAUAGGACCAUGCUGUAGGUGGUGUGGUGGUAAGAUUAGUUUCGGUAAGGGAUGAGCUCGCGGCCUAUCAGCUUGUUGGUGGGGUAAUGGCCUACCAAGGCGUCGACGGGUAGCCGGCCUGAGAGGGUGGACGGCCACAUUGGGACUGAGAUACGGCCCAGACUCCUACGGGAGGCAGCAGUGGGGAAUAUUGCACAAUGGGCGCAAGCCUGAUGCAGCGACGCCGCGUGGGGGAUGACGGCCUUCGGGUUGUAAACUCCUUUCAGCCAUGACGAAGCCCUUGUGGUGACGGUAGUGGUAGAAGAAGCACCGGCUAACUACGUG